rnacentral:rRNA from 1 species
GAUGAACGCUGGCGGCGUGCCUAAUACAUGCAAGUCGAGCGAACGGACGAGAAGCUUGCUUCUCUGAUGUUAGCGGCGGACGGGUGAGUAACACGUGGAUAACCUACCUAUAAGACUGGGAUAACUUCGGGAAACCGGAGCUAAUACCGGAUGAUAUUUUGAACCGCAUGGUUCAAAAGCGAAAGACGGUCUUGCUGUCACUUAUAGAUGGAUCCGCGCUGCAUUAGCUAGUUGGUAAGGUAACGGCUUACCAAGGCAACGAUGCAUAGCCGACCUGAGAGGGUGAUCGGCCACCCUGGAACUGAGACACGGUACAGACUCCUACGGGAGGCAGCAGUAGGGAAUCUUCCGCAAUGGGCGAAAGCCUGACGGAGCAACGCCGCGUGAGUGAUGAAGGUCUUCGGAUCGUAAAACUCUGUUAUUAGGGAAGAACAUAUGUGUAAGUAACUGUGCACAUCUUGACGGUACCUAAUCAGAAAGCCACGGCUAACUACGUG